GUGUCCUGGAAAUACUGCUCACUGUCCAAACAGACGCUUCACCCAUGGCUCUGAGAGCUGUGUUCUUUUUAUCUGCGUGACUCAUUAUGACAGAUAUGCCGUGUGCUGAACAGUCCCCAUUUGGAGAUUGAAUUACCAUCCUAUUCAGCUGACACAAAGCAGUUCCUGGCCGGCUCAGGCAGUCCAUGAAUAAGUAAACAGUCUUCUAGCUUGAUGCCGAGCACAAACAUCGGAGGCUCAGAGAGGCUGGCGUCCGCAGGGGACAGGCAGCCGGCGCUGCUGCGGGGGGCCGAGGCUAGUCCGUCUGAUCCACUAGAGAUCCCCAGCAUCUUUUUAGACGUGACCCGUCAUACCUGAGGCCUGUUGGUCCAGAGGACACACCUGAUCAGACUCACCCCUUGGAAGACCCACUUGGGAAUUUCCCACUGGAACCCAGCAGUGGAACUUGGUGGAAAAUGCACUGAAGGAGGCUGCCCAGGGAGAGCACCGCCCGAAGCCCCAUUAUGCAGGCCUUCCCGCACGGGCCCGGCAGCACGACAAGAUGCUGACAUGGUCUCCUCACUGGCCUGCCUACCUGCUUCUUGACAUCCUAGAGUCAUUUCCAGCAGCAUCUGGAGUGAUCCUGUGGUACAGACCAGAUGGUGGGGCUCCUCUGAGUAAACCUUCCAGCGCCUCCCCAAGUAAGAAUGAGGCGACCCCGUGGCUGCUGUCUUGCUCAGCCUGCCUCUCCACCUUCGAUUCAUGGAGCCGUGUCCACUCUGACCUCCUUUGUUCCUCAAACCACCACGCUUGUCCCAGCGCACAAGGGUUUUCUCUGCUUAGAACUCAAGUCCAUCAUCUUCAGACAGCUGCCAGCUCCUUGCCCUUCACAUAUCAGCCUGAGUCACCUCCUCAGCCGGAGCAUCCUGGCCCCACUCUAUGUCCCUCCCUCACCCCCUACCCUGGUCUGGCUCUGUGACUUCACCCAUCUCUUGUCUUCCUGUUUCUCUUAUAACUUGGUCUGUCCCAUGUCUUCACUUCUGUGUCUGUCUGUCUCCCUGCGAGAACGUCAGCUCCCAGGUGGCAGAGGUCUUCGCCGCUGUAUCCAGCAUUGUGUCCCUAGCUCCUAUAGCAGGGUGCAUAGUAGGUGCUCAUUAGCUAUUACUUAAUGAUUAAUUGGCAGCUUGGAGUUGCUAAUUUCACAGCUUUGCCAAUGCCUGUUUCAAAGAAUAACUGAAUCCUGACAAUUUUACUAUAAGAAUUAGAGCUUUCUUGAUUUUGCACUGAUUUUCCUGCUUUCUUAUGGGGCUUUUUUUUUUUUUUUUUUACAAAAAAGAUCCUGCUUUUCAGGAAAUAACAAGAGUUGGAGAGAAUGUGGAGAAAUCAGAGCCCUGGUGCUGGUUGGUGGGAAUGGAAAAUGGUGCCGCUGCUGUGGAAAACAGGGUGGCAGAUUCUUAAAUACUGAAAAAUAGGGUUACCACAACAUGAUCCGGCAGUUCCACGUAUGGUAGUACACCCAAAAGAAUUCCAAGCAGGAUUGAAUCAUCCCCCCAUUUUAUAGAGCAGGUAAAAAAUUCACAGCAUUAUUCACAGAAGCCAAAAGGUAGAAGCAACCCAAGUUGCUACAGAUGGAUGGAUAAACAAGAGGCAGUACACACAUGCGUGUGCGUGCAUGCACAGUGGAAUAUUACUCAGCCUUAAAAAGGAAAGAAGUUCUGACACCUGCUGCAGCAUGAAUGAAUCUUGAGGACAUGAUGCUCAGUGAGAUAAUAAGCCAGACGCAGAAGGACAAACACUGUCUGAUUCCAUUCAUACCGGGCCCCUAGAGGAGUUGGCUUCACAGAGACAGAAAGUAGGAGAGUGGGGGCCAGGGGAGGGGGGAGGGGGAGUUAGUGUUCAGUGGGGACAGAGUUUCAGUUUAGGAAGAUCGAAAAACUUCUGGAGAGGGAAGGUGGUGAUGGUUCAUAUGAAUGUAUUUAAUGCCCCUGAACUGUACACUUAAAGAUGGUUAAGAUGGUA